rnacentral:tRNA from 1 species
GUGACUGUGGCUCAGUGGUAGAGCACUCACCUGGCAUGUGUGAGGCACUGGGUUUGAUCCACAGCACCACA